rnacentral:rRNA from 1 species
CGCAUCUGUGCAUGCAGCAUAUCAAUAAGCGGAGGAAAAGAAACUAACAAGGAUUCCCUUAGUAACGGCGAGUGAAGCGGGAAGAGCUCAAAUUUGAAAUCUUCAAGGCUUUACCUUGACGAAUUGUAGUUUAAAGAAGUGUUUUCUGUUGAAGUUUUGGUAAAAGUUCUUUGGAAUAGGACAUCAUAGAGGGUGAGAAUCCCGUAUUUGACCAUUAUUUUCAGCUGUGUGAUACACUUUCAAAGAGUCGGAUUGUUUGGGAAUGCAGUCCAAAAUGGGUGGUAAAUUUCAUCUAAAGCUAAAUAUUGGCGAGAGACCGAUAGCGAACAAGUACCGUGAGGGAAAGAUGAAAAGAACUUUGAAAAGAGAGUUAAACAGUACGUGAAAUUGUCAAAAGGGAAGCGUUCGACACCAGUGUUGUUUUCUCGAAAAUCAAUUAAAAAGAGUUAGAUUUUGUUGUGUAUUGACCUUAACAGCUUGCAUUUCAAUUUUCUUGCUUUUUUUAAUGCACUUUUCGUUUAACAAGUCAACAUCAGUUUCUUUUGUUGUAAAAAGGUCAUUGGAAGGUGGCUUUCUUUUCGGAGAAAGUGUUUAUAGCCUUUGACUCCUGCAAUCGGAGAGACUGAGGUCUGCAGCGUAGAUCCUUCGGGGUUAGAUACAUUUGUGCUAAGUUAUAGCUUUUUAUAGACAACUUGUUGACUAUGAUUAGUCUUGUAGCUUACUCGCUUAUGCUAUUUUACCUACGCUUAGGAUGUUGACACACGCGCGUGCUCG